UUCCUCCUCUGCUCACAGCAAAAAGGAAAAGGAGGCACUAGAGUCUUUGCAAUUCUUCCGUGGGACCACUGAUCCGGAAGAGCUGCGAGAGGAACUUGAGGAGUUAAGGCACGAGCAUCAA